rnacentral:tRNA from 1 species
GGCUGGAGAAAUGGCUCAGUGGUUAAGAGCACUGGUUACUGCUCUUCCAGAGCUUCUGAGUUCAAUUCCCAGCAGCCA